rnacentral:rRNA from 1 species
UACGGAGGGUGCGAGCGUUGUCCGGAAUCAUUGGGCGUAAAGGGCGCGUAGGUGGCCCGGUCAGCGUGCGGUGAAAGCUCGGGGCUCAACCCCGAGUCGGCCGUGCGAACUGCUGGGCUGGAGCACUGUAGAGGCAGGCGGAAUUCCGGGUGUAGCGGUGGAAUGCGUAGAGAUCCGGAAGAACACCGGUGGCGAAGGCGGCUCACUGGCUCGUAUCUGACGCUCAGGCGCGACAGCGUGGGGAUCGAAACAGG